rnacentral:lncRNA from 1 species
AGAGUGACUUCCCAAGAAGCAAAGAGAAACUUCAGAUUUAGUCUGGAACACGUGGCCCUGCUGUGCAGAGACUGGUUCUAGUCCCAUUGACCCAGUUCAUCUUCCUCUAGCCUCCUUUUAUAGACACCAAAGCCCCAUUAUCUGAAGACAGCACACUUUCACCUCUGUGUCUUGGACAAGCUGGUUCCCCUGUUUAGAAUGCCCUUCCACACGCCUUUUUUUUUUUUUUUUUGCCUGAUCAUCGCCUGCUCAUCUCCAAAGACUCAGGUCAAAUGCCCCUCCUUUGAAACUUCCUCUCACAGCCCUUCCCACAUUUGAUUCCUCUCUUCUCUCUAAGUCUCAGAGGUGCCAUGUUCACCUUUCUCCUUAGCACCUUCCACCACAUCCUAUAAAUCCUCUAGUCUAGUGGUUUCCAAAAUUGGAUGUUGGAAGAAUAGGAUAGAACUCUCAUCUCAAUUACAUGAAUAUUUUUUAAUGUGCCUAAUAUGUUGUUACAAUAGUAAACAUGUAUAUUUGGUGACUAAUAAAUAUGCCUAUA